rnacentral:rRNA from 1 species
UACGUAGGUGGCAAGCGUUGUCCGGAAUUAUUGGGCGUAAAGAGCUCGUAGGCGGUCUGUCGCGUCGGCUGUGAAAACUCGGGGCUCAACCCCGAGCCUGCAGUCGAUACGGGCAGACUAGAGUGCGGUAGGGGAGACUGGAAUUCCUGGUGUAGCGGUGAAAUGCGCAGAUAUCAGGAGGAACACCGGUGGCGAAGGCGGGUCUCUGGGCCGUAACUGACGCUGAGGAGCGAAAGCGUGGGGAGCAAACAGG